UACGUAGGUUGCGAGCGUUAUCCGGAUUUACUGGGCGUAAAGCGCUUGUAGGCGGUAAUAUAAGUUGGGCGUGAAACCUCUGGGCUUAACCCGGAGCAUGCGCACAAUACUGUAAUACUAGAGGGUGUCAGAGGAAAACGGAAUUCCCGGUGUAGUAGUGAAAUGCGUAGAUAUCGGGAGGAACAUCAGUGGCGAAGGCGGUUUUCUGGGACAUUACUGACGCUGAGAAGCGACAGCUAGGGGAGCAAACAGGAUUAGAAACCCUGGUAGUCCUAGCCGUAAACGAUGGAUGCUAGGCGUUGGCAGACUCAAUCCUGUCCGCGCCGAAGUUAACACGAUAAGCAUCCCGCCUGGGAAGUACGACCGCAAGGUUA
rnacentral:rRNA from 1 species